GAAAGGAAUGCUAAUACCGCAUACGCCCUACGGGGGAAAGCAGGGGAUCUUCGGACCUUGCGCUAAUAGAUGAGCCUAAGUCAGAUUAGCUAGUUGGUGGGGUAAAGGCCUACCAAGGCGACGAUCUGUAGCGGGUCUGAGAGGAUGAUCCGCCACACUGGGACUGAGACACGGCCCAGACUCCUACGGGAGGCAGCAGUGGGGAAUAUUGGACAAUGGGCGAAAGCCUGAUCCAGCCAUGCCGCGCGUGUGAAGAAGGCCUUUUGGUUGUAAAGCACUUUAAGCGAGGAGGAGGCUACUGAGAUUAAUACUCUUGGAUAGUGGACGUUACUCGCAGAAUAAGCACCGGCUAACUCUGUGCCAGCAGCCGCGGUAAUACAGAGGGUGCGAGCGUUAAUCGGAUUUACUGGGCGUAAAGCGUGCGUAGGCGGCUUUUUAAGUCGGAUGUGAAAUCCCUGAGCUUAACUUAGGAAUUGCAUUCGAUACUGGGAAGCUAGAGUAUGGGAGAGGAUGGUAGAAUUCCAGGUGUAUCGGUGAAAUGCUUAUAGAUCUGGAGGAAUACCGAUGGCGAAGGCAGCCAUCUG
rnacentral:rRNA from 1 species